AACAGCGUAGCGUAGUGGUAAGGCGCAGGGCUUAUAACCAAAAGGUUGCUAGUUCAAUUCCCUGCCUGGUCACUGCUG